rnacentral:rRNA from 1 species
UAUCUCUGUAGAGUCUGCAUAUCAAUAAGCGGAGGAAAAGAAACUAACAAGGAUUCCCUUAGUAACGGCGAGUGAAGCGGGAAGAGCUCAAAUUUGAAAUCUUCAAGGUUUUACCUUGACGAAUUGUAGUUUAAAGAAGUGUUUUCUGUUGAAGUUUCGGUAAAAGUUCUUUGGAAUAGGACAUCAUAGAGGGUGAGAAUCCCGUAUUUGACCGUUAUUUUCAGCUGUGUGAUACACUUUCAAAGAGUCGGAUUGUUUGGGAAUGCAGUCCAAAAUGGGUGGUAAACUUCAUCUAAAGCUAAAUAUUGGCGAGAGACCGACAGCGAACAAGUACCGUGAGGGAAAGAUGAAAAGAACUUUGAAAAGAGAGUUAAACAGUACGUGAAAUUGUCAAAAGGGAAGCGUUUGACACCAGUGUUGUUUUUCCGAAAAUCAAUUACGAAUGGCUUGAUUCUGUGUUGUAUUGACCUUAUCAGCUUUCUUCACUUUUUUCGAGUCUUUCUUAAUGCACUUUUCGGUUAACAAGUCAACAUCAAUUUCUUUUGUUGUAAAAGAGUAUUCGGAAGGUGGCUUUCUUUUCGGAGAAAGUGUUUAUAGCCCUAUACUUCUACAAUCGGAGAGAUUGAGGUCUGCAGCGUAGAUCUUUCGGGGUUAGAUACAUUUGUGCUAAGUUAUAGCCUUUCAUAGACAACUUGUUGACUAUGAUCAGUCAUGUAGCUUACUCGCUGAUGCUAUUUUACCUACGCUUAGGAUGUUGAAGAUGUAGCACAUCAU